rnacentral:rRNA from 1 species
CCUACGGGUGGCAGCAGUGGGGAAUAUUGCACAAUGGGGGAAACCCUGAUGCAGCGACGCCGCGUGAAGGAAGAAGGAUUUAGGUAUGUAAACUUCUAUCAGUAGGGAAGAAAAUGACGGUACCUGACUAAGAAGGCCCGGAUAACUACGAGCCAGCAGCGGCGGUAAUACGUAGGGGGCAAGCGUUAUCCGGAUUUACUGGGUGUAAAGGGGGCGUAGGGGGUUUAGCAAGUCAGAAGUGAAAGCCCGGGGCUCAACGCCGGGACUGCUUUUGAAACUGUUGAACUUGAUUGCAGGAGAGGUAAGUGGAAUUCCUAGUGUAGCGGUGAAAUGCGUAGAUAUUAGGAGGAACACCAGUGGCGAAGGCAGCUUACUGGACUGUAAAUGACGCUGAUGCUCGAAAGCGUGGGUAGCAAACAGGAUUAGAUACCCUUGUAGUC